AGAACCCUUCAAAGUUUUCUGCACAUAACUUCAGAAUUCGUGUGUGCUAAAAGCAUACAAGUUUCUGUAAGUGUGAUUCCGUGUACACUAACUGUUCAACUGAAAACCAGUACAAUGCUAGAAGGAAAGAAAAGUAUUAGAACAAAAUGCAAAUUUAUAGAUCUAUAAUGCAAAAAUACCACAAAUGAACUGACUUAGAACACAUGAAAUACCACAACUCUACCACUUCAAAACGCAAACAUCAAAUAUGCCACUAAAAUUUAGUUUACUCCAUUGGAGAUAAAACAGGGACAAGGAUGAGAUGGAUCUUAUCCAUCUAAAGGGCAGAUGAUAUGUACAAACGACUGACUGAAAAGUAAACAAGACUAUCUCAUAUAAUUCGGAGCCCUCCUUUCUCUUUUAUUAAUCUGCUGACAUGCAUAUCUCACUCAUUUCAAAUGAAUCCGAUGACUAUUUUCUGAGAAGUCCCACAAACGAAAUGAUCAACAGCCGCGGCCAAAAUAUGAAUUGCACCUAGCCCAGCUAAAGCACUCCCAAAAUCUCUUCUUGUUCUUCCCUGAAAGCCUAGCAUUUUCAGUUUCAUUUCUUCUCAGCAUCUCCCACAUAAUACGAACAUCCUCAUAUUCACAAGCCCUUACAUCAUGAUGUAGUUUCAGCAGCCCUAUCAUUUCCCCGCCGGAAACAUUAGAUAAUUUUGAAAAGGAAAAUUGAGUAAAUCAAAACAUAUGCUGCAAAUCAAUUUCCUAAACCAUCAAAGGCAGAACACACUGGUCCUGUUAGCUAAUUUUAAAGAACUACAUAAUUCCCCAAAAGAAAUCAUGUGUGUCCCGUUUUGACCAUUUCAUCAAAUGGAAUCCCUCUCCCAAUCCCUGACCAAUUUUAUAAAAUAGAAAAAGAUCAAGACGACUGUUAAUUUGAAAACAAAUUUAAGAUAGAAGGACCAGAAGAAUAGGCCAAAUUCAAUAUUCUCUGUAAUGCAGAACAGGUUUUGACUAUUACUCCGACAAAAUUCAAGAUUGGCUGCCAAGCAUAAUGUGAUAGUAGCAGCCUGCUCACUCCCAUCCGCCAGUGUCAAAAAUUUUCACAGAAAGGAUGAAGGAUCAUCACAAAAUUGUUAACAAUUUAUCUAGGGACAGUGCUAUUGAUCAUUUUAUAUUGCAACUCUGCAUCUUAUGGAACUAAAUCAAAACACAGUUGAAUUUGAAAUCAGCUUGAUAUAUUUUUUGAAUUAAACAUGUACUGAUACGAUAACAUCAAAUUGAAAUAAACGCAGAUCGCCAAAAAAACGCGAAGGCACUGCUACUUUCACCGACAAUGCAAACUUCUAGCAAUUAAAACGAAGAUCUUGUGAUUGAAAAACAUUCCCAU
rnacentral:misc_RNA from 1 species